GACGAACGCUGGCGGCGUGCUUAACACAUGCAAGUCGAGCGGAAAGGCCUUUCGGGGUACUCGAGCGGCGAACGGGUGAGUAACACGUGAGUAACCUGCCCCCUUCUCUGGGAUAAGCCUGGGAAACUGGGUCUAAUACCGGAUAGGACCACUCUCGGCAUCGGGUGGUGGUGGAAAGUUUUUUCGGUGGGGGAUGGGCUCGCGGCCUAUCAGCUUGUUGGUGGGGUAGUGGCCUACCAAGGCGACGACGGGUAGCCGGCCUGAGAGGGCGACCGGCCACACUGGGACUGAGACACGGCCCAGACUCCUACGGGAGGCAGCAGUGGGGAAUAUUGCACAAUGGGCGGAAGCCUGAUGCAGCGACGCCGCGUGGGGGAUGACGGCCUUCGGGUUGUAAACCUCUUUCAGCAUCGACGAAGUUCAC
rnacentral:rRNA from 1 species